CCUACGGGUGGCAGCAGUGGGGAAUAUUGCGCAAUGGGCGAAAGCCUGACGCAGCGACGCCGCGUGAGGGAUGAAGGUCUUCGGAUCGGAAACCUCUGUCAGCAGGGAAGAAAGGUCACUGUGCUAAUCAGCAGUGAAUUGUAGGUGCCUGCAAAGGAAGCACCGGCUACCUCCGUGCCAGCCGCCGCGUUAAUACGGAGGGUGCGAUCGUUAAUCGGAAUUACUGGGCGUAAAGCGCUCGUAGGCGGUAUGUCCAGUCAAGGGUGAAAUCCCCGCGCUCAACGUGGGAACUGCCUUUGAAACUGGCAAACUGGAGUGUGUGAGAGGAUAGUGGAAUUCGAGGUGUAGGAGUGAAAUCCGUAGAUAUCUGGAGGAACAUCAGUGGCGAAGGCGACUAUCUGGCACAUAACUGACGCUGAGGAGCGAAAGCGUGGGUAGCAAACAGGAUUAGAUACCCGUGUAGUC
rnacentral:rRNA from 1 species